GGAUUUCGGAUUUUGUAUGCCAUUUUAUAAGCUUCUUCGAUCUAUUGCAAAACAGAUGCACCCCGCGUGUCGGUCACAAAGGAAGCGAUGCUCGCCAAUGUGCUUGAACCUUCAGCAUAUCUUAAUGCCAAUGGGCCACCAGAGUCGCCAAAGCAAGGACUGCUCUUACUGGGCUCCAGGCAAACCUAGGAUGAAGCAAAGGGAGAUACUGAUGGCAGAUAGUAAUUUAAUAAAGACGGAACUUAUGUCGCAUUCGACUGGAUCGGGCCACAAUAUGAUAUGCUAUGGAUGGAUCGACUGACAAAUUAAGGACUACAAUCAGCUCUAAGGACCUUCACGAGUGACAGAGCAGAUUUUUCCAGGAUCGGACUUUAAUUAAGCCAAAUAUAGUUAUUUUAAGUUUCAAUACCCUUAAUUUAUAAUUUAUGCUCGAUUUGUAUAAUUUUAAGAGAAAUAAUUAAGAAAACUCGCAUAAAA